rnacentral:rRNA from 1 species
UACAGAGGGUGCAAGCGUUAAUCGGAAUUACUGGGCGUAAAGCGUGCGCAGACGGUUGCGUAAGUCAGAUGUGAAAGCCCCGGGCUCAACCUGGGAAUUGCAUUUGAGACUGCGUAGCUAGGGUGCGGAAGAGGGAAGCGGAAUUUCCAGUGUAGCGGUGAAAUGCGUAGAUAUCGGAAGGAACACCAGUGGCGAAAGCGGCUUCCUGGUCCAGCACCGACGUUCAGGCACGAAAGCGUGGGGAGCAAACAGG